CCCAACUAUCCCUAUUAAUCAUUACAACGGUCCUAGAAACCAACAAAAUAGAAUCGUUGUCCUAUUCUAUUAUUCCAUGCUAAUGUAUUCUGGCAUAUGCCUGCUUUAAACACUCUAAUUUUUUCAAGGUAAAGGUCUUGGCUCCGAGCAACACCCAAUAAAGGGCAUUACCCUUCCCCAAGCGGUGAGGCCCAACCGACCAGUACUCGUUACAAGAACGGACCAAUCGGCCAAACCCAAAAUUCAACUACGAGCUUUUUAACUGCAACAACUUUAAUAUACGCUAUUGGAGCUGGAAUUACCGCGGCUGCUGGCACCAGACUUGCCCUCCAA
rnacentral:misc_RNA from 1 species